rnacentral:rRNA from 1 species
AGAGUUUGAUCAUGGCUCAGGAUGAACGCUAGCUACAGGCUUAACACAUGCAAGUCGAGGGGCAGCAUGUUGGUUGCUUGCAACCAACGAUGGCGACCGGCGCACGGGUGAGUAACGCGUAUCCAACCUACCCUUGUCCAUCGGAUAACCCGUCGAAAGGCGGCCUAACACGAUAUGCGGUUCACAGCAGGCAUCUAACGUGAACGAAAUGUAAAGGAGAAGGAUGGGGAUGCGUCUGAUUAGCUUGUUGGCGGGGUAACGGCCACCAGGCUACGAUCAGUAGGGGUUCUGAGAGGAAGGUCCCCACAUUGGAACUGAGACACGGUCCAAACGUCCUAACGGGAGCA